GCCCUUUAGAGUUUGAUCAUGGCUCAGGAUGAACGCUAGCGACAGGCCUAACACAUGCAAGUCGAGGGGCAGCGGAGAGGUAGCAAUACCUUUGCCGGCGACCGGCGCACGGGUGAGUAACACGUAUGCAAUCCACCUGUAACAGGGGGAUAACCCGGAGAAAUCCGGACUAAUACCCCAUAAUAUGGGCGCUCCGCAUGGAGAGCCCAUUAAAGAGAGCAAUUUUGGUUACAGACGAGCAUGCGCUCCAUUAGCCAGUUGGCGGGGUAACGGCCCACCAAAGCGACGAUGGAUAGGGGUUCUGAGAGGAAGGUCCCCCACAUUGGAACUGAGACACGGUCCAAACUCCUACGGGAGGCAGCAGUGAGGAAUAUUGGUCAAUGGUCGGCAGACUGAACCAGCCAAGUCGCGUGAGGGAAGACGGCCCUACGGGUUGUAAACCUCUUUUGUCGGAGAGUAAAGUACGCUACGUGUAGCGUAUUGCAAGUAUCCGAAGAAAAAGCAUCGGCUAACUCCGUGCCAGCAGCCGCGGUAAUACGGAGGAUGCGAGCGUUAUCCGGAUUUAUUGGGUUUAAAGGGUGCGUAGGCGGCACGCCAAGUCAGCGGUGAAAUUUCCGGGCUCAACCCGGAGUGUGCCGUUGAAACUGGCGAGCUAGAGUACACAAGAGGCAGGCGGAAUGCGUGGUGUAGCGGUGAAAUGCAUAGAUAUCACGCAGAACCCCGAUUGCGAAGGCAGCCUGCUAGGGUGAAACAGACGCUGAGGCACGAAAGCGUGGGUAUCGAACAGGAUUAGAUACCCUGGUAGUCCACGCAGUAAACGAUGAAUACUAACUGUUUGCGAUACAAUGUAAGCGGUACAGCGAAAGCGUUAAGUAUCCACCUGGA
rnacentral:rRNA from 1 species